AUGGAGGGGCUUUGGGGGAGUCCCAGGAGGGCUCAGGGGAGGGAUGGGGCGCCAGGGAGGAUUUUGGGGGUCCUGGGAGGGUUUUUUGGGGGCUCAGGGUGCCAGGGAGGAUUUUGGGGGUCCUGGGAGGGUUUCUGGGGGCUCAGGGUGCUUGGGAAGAUUUUGGGGGUCCUGGGAAGGUUUUUUGGGGGGGGUCCAGAGUGGUUGUGUAGUCCCAGGGGGAAUUUGGGGCCCUCAGAGGAGGAAUUGGGGUGCCCAGGGAACAUCUCUGGUGAGUUUUGGGAUGCGGGGGGGGUUCAGCUUCCCGGGCAGAAAGGCGGGGGUGGUCCCAAGGGGCUCUGCGGGGUCCCAGGGGUGCUCCUGGGGGCUCUGUGGGGUCCCAGGGGUGCUCCGGGGGGCUCUGCAGGGUCCCAGGGGUGCUCCUGGGGGGCCCGGGGGUGGUUUGGGGGCAGCUCCGCACCGUCCCAGCCCCCGUCGGGCUCCGCGGAGGUCUCGGGCUCCGGCAGCUCCUCCGAGUCCUCGAUCUGGGGGGGGUUUGAGUGUUUCAGGGCAGUGUUUGAGGCACUCGGGGGUGUUUGGGGGCGGUUUUGGGUGUCUGGGGGCACUCUGGGGUGUUUCUGGGGGCACUCUGGGGUGUUUCUGGGGGCAGUUUGGGUGUUUCUGGGGCAGUUUGGGGGCAGUUUUGGGUGUCUGGGGAUAUUCUGGGGGCAGUUUCAGGUGUCUGGGGUAGUCUGGGGCCCCCCGGGCUGUUUCGGGGCACUCUGGGGUGUUUCUGGUGGCAGUUUCAGGUGUCUGGGGGCACUCUGGGGUGUUUCUGGGGGCAGUUUGGGGGCAGUUUUGGGUCUCUGGGGGCACUCUGGGGUGUUUCUGGGGGCAGUUUGGGGUGUUUCAGGGCAGUUUGGGGGCAGUUUCAGGUGUCUGGGGGCAGUUUGGGGGCAGUUUUGGGUCUCUGGGGGCAGUUUGGGGGCAGUUUCAGGUGUCUGGGGGCAGUUUGGGGGCAGUUUUGGGUCUCUGGGGGCACUCUGGGGGCAGUUUGGGGGCAGUUUUGGGUGUUUCAGGGCACUCUGGGGUCAGUUUUAG
rnacentral:lncRNA from 1 species